rnacentral:sRNA from 1 species
GACGCCGGGUCGGCGGGUGGAUGAACACGGCCCUCUGUAAUGGCGGAGCGUGGCGGGGACGGGGGCGAGAGUGAACGAUUCAACCCGGGGGAGCUCAGGAUGGCCCAACAGCAGGCCUUGAGGUUCCGAGGUCCGGCUCCCCCACCAAAUGCAGUGAUGCGAGGCCCACCACCUCUGAUGCGACCUCCUCCACCUUUUGGUAUGAUGCGAGGCCCUCCUCCACCACCACGGCCGCCCUUUGGACGUCCUCCUUUUGAUCCUAAUAUGCCACCAAUGCCUCCUCCAGGAGGGAUACCUCCACCUAUGGGCCCUCCACACCUCCAGAGACCACCUUUCAUGCCUCCUCCCAUGAGUUCCAUGCCUCCUCCUCCGGGUAUGAUGUUUCCACCAGGAAUGCCUCCUGUGACUGCUCCUGGUACUCCAGCACUACCUCCUACGGAGGAGAUAUGGGUUGAAAAUAAAACUCCAGAUGGGAAGGUUUAUUAUUAUAAUGCUCGGACACGUGAAUCUGCAUGGACCAAGCCAGAUGGAGUUAAGGUUAUUCAGCAAUCAGAACUGACACCUAUGCUUGCAGCCCAGGCACAGGUUCAGGCUCAGGCCCAGGCGCAGGCUCAGGCCCAGGCGCAGGCUCAGGCCCAGGCGCAGGCUCAGGCCCAGGCACAAGCUCAGGCCCAGGCUCAGGCUCAGGCCCAGGCCCAGGCCCAGGCGCAGGCCCAGGCCCAGGCCCAGGCCCAGGCUCAGGCUCAGGCACAAGCUCAGGCCCAGGCCCAGGCCCAGGCUCAGGUCCAGGCCCAGGUCCAGGCACAAGUGCAAGCACAAGCAGUUGGAGCUUCCACCCCUACGACCAGUAGCCCAGCACCUGCAGUAUCCACUUCAACAUCAUCAUCCACCCCUUCCUCUACCACUUCUACCACAACAACUGCUACUUCAGUUGCGCAGACAGUAUCAACACCCACAACACAAGAUCAGACCCCAAGUUCUGCUGUUUCAGUUGCCACGCCUACAGUUAGUGUUUCAACUCCUGCUCCUACAGCCACACCUGUGCAAACCGUUCCCCAGCCGCACCCUCAGACGUUACCUCCUGCUGUUCCUCAUUCAGUACCUCAGCCAACAACAGCAAUACCUGCUUUUCCACCAGUAAUGGUACCUCCGUUUCGUGUUCCCCUUCCUGGCAUGCCAAUUCCACUUCCAGGUGUAUUGCCAGGAAUGGCCCCUCCUAUCGUACCCAUGAUACAUCCCCAGGUUGCUAUUGCAGCUUCACCUGCUACCUUAGCUGGAGCAACAGCAGUUUCUGAAUGGACUGAAUAUAAAACAGCAGAUGGGAAGACAUAUUAUUAUAAUAAUAGAACAUUAGAAUCAACCUGGGAAAAACCCCAAGAACUAAAGGAAAAAGAAAAGUUAGAAGAGAAGAUUAAAGAGCCAAUUAAAGAACCCUCUGAAGAGCCUCUGCCAAUGGAGACGGAGGAGGAGGAUCCUAAAGAAGAGCCUAUAAAGGAGAUAAAGGAGGAGCCCAAAGAAGAGGAGAUGACUGAAGAAGAAAAGGCUGCCCAGAAGGCAAAGCCAGUUGCUACUGCUCCUAUUCCUGGUACUCCAUGGUGUGUCGUUUGGACUGGUGAUGAGCGGGUCUUCUUUUAUAAUCCCACCACUCGUCUUUCUAUGUGGGACCGACCUGAUGAUCUGAUUGGCAGGGCAGAUGUUGACAAAAUUAUUCAGGAGCCCCCUCAUAAAAAAGGAAUGGAGGAAUUGAAGAAACUAAGGCACCCAACUCCGACAAUGCUGUCGAUCCAAAAGUGGCAAUUCUCUAUGAGUGCAAUUAAAGAGGAACAAGAAUUAAUGGAAGAAAUUAAUGAAGAUGAGCCUGUUAAAGCAAAAAAACGGAAGUAAGUAAUACAUACAAUUUGAUUGAGGUAGAUUAUAUCUUUUAAAAGUCGAUUUGGUAAUAAUUUGUGAUUGGAAGGGACAGGUAAUGUGAAUGUUGUUAGGAGACAUGAUUGCUCUCUUA